GUCCGCGUGUUCUAGUGGUCAUGAUUUGGUUCUCACAUUCACAUGUUGAUCAGCCGAGGUCCUGGGUUCGAACCCCAGCGUGGACA
rnacentral:tRNA from 1 species